CAACCACACUAACUGGUUUGUUGUUGUUCUCUUUUUAAAGCAUUUCUUGUGUCCUGAGGAUUCCUUCGCUGCACUUCCGUUUGGCAAUAUCCUGCGGCCAAACUUCUACGUUACUUUUUGUGACUGCAGCCCUCAACUUUAUGGAAGCUGUCAAAACGUCCAUCUUGGAGACUCAAGAAGGAUGUUUUUCCCCCGCCUGAACUUUCACGUUUGGGUGUGAAGACCCACUGCCAGCAUCCUCUUCGGCAUGGAAUUGAGUCGAGCUGCAAAAGUUGUAACUGGAAUCCUUUUCCAACUAGUGGAUGUUGGACACAUGGCAUUCCUUCGCCUUACUUUCUUCCUGCGGGUGCUAAAUUGGCUUCAGGUGUGGGUGAGGCAUACUUUCCCACUUAUAUCACCUUAUUUGUGUUUAGUCUCAUUUUGUUGGAAAGCAUUUUCAAAAUGCAUGCUGGGGUUCAUGCUUCCAUCGAUGAACCACAGCCCAGAGUGCCGGCAGCACUCAUGCAGCCCUGGACCGACCAAAGUUGCCGUCAUAAUUCAGAUUUCUUCUUCAUGAUGUUGUGCUGCCCAGAUCUCACCAACAGCAAACGUCCUAAAUUAUUGAUCAGAGGCCAUUGGUGCUGUGCAUGAAGCAGUCAAAGCACUGGACUUGCAACAUGAGGGGAUUAUGGUCUGAUGCUGGCGGGCAUUUUUUUUUUUUUUUCUCCUUUGGGCUCCGGUUUGGACUUUUCAAGAAGGACCGGCUCACUAUGCCACUAUUCUGCCUUUUCUUCUUCUUCAAAAUGGUGUUCCUCAUUUAUAUUCAUCAGUACUUCUUUGUUCUCUUAUGGGCUUCAGACUGGAUUGAGAGAGAGAGAGAGGCAAGACUCUUAUUGUAAUAACAACCGUGACAAAACCACUCGAUCGUCCUUUCUUUUAACGCCGUUAUUCUUCUCUGUCAGACCUGUUUAUCAAUGAUGUAUGUUGCAUAACUUCCCAUGCUAAAUUUUUCCUUGUCUCUGUCACAAAAGUGCUGGCUUUAGGCGGUUUCCUUUUACAUAUUCGGGGCAUGGUUCUACAUCGGGGGUGGCCAAAGUGCGGCCGGCGGCACAUUUUUAAAAUACUAUUACAGACAAAACAUGAACAAAUCGCAAUAAAAGAGCAAACGGGUGAAAUGUAAUCAGACAAAGUUGCAAUGUUGACUCUAAUAACACUUUUUUUUCUUUAAAACUGUCAUUGCUCAAAAAAUAAUGAGUAAAAAUCAACAAUGUUAUGAAUUAUUGACCUAUUCAUGUACAUAGUGUAUAACCCCCCCCCCAUUGUUUGUAUAUAUUGUUUUUCAAAUCACCUGACAUGUAUACUGUGUAUAUGUACAUAAUUUAUGCAUUUUUUUUUAACAUAGUUUUAUAUACAUGUUACAGGUUAUAUAUAUUUUAUUAUUGAAUGUAUCAAAUGUGAUGAAUAUUUCAUGGACCACAAUGUAAACAAGCCUUUUGGCUUUUUGUGCCAUCCAUUUGCCUUUUUAAAACAUUACAUGGAUUAAAUUC